rnacentral:lncRNA from 1 species
CAGGCGCGUGAUGAAGUCGUCGGUGCGGUACGGGCGGAACUGGACCUCUGGGAGAAACGGAAUUCCGGGAAUUAGCACGGAUCCUGUGGGAAUUGGCCGUUAUCCGAGAAAAAUCCCGGAAUUAUCGACACAUCCCAUGGGAAUUGGCCGUUAUUUGACAAAAAUCUGGGAAUUAUCAAUGGAUCCUAACGGGAUUUGCCAUUAUCCAAUAAAAUCCUUGGAAUUCUCACUGGAUCCAAAACUGGAAUCGCUGGGAUGCUCCAAAGUUGGGAUUCCAGUCCCUCCCAGUCCAUCCCAGUCCCAUCCCAGUCCAUCCCAGUCCAUCCCAGUCCAUCCCAGUUCCAUCCCAGUCCAUCCCAGUCCAUCCCAGUCCAUCCCAGUCACUCCCAGUCCCUCCCAGUCACUCCCAGUCCAUUCCAGAGCCUUAUCUGACAAAAAUCUGGGAAUUUUCAGUGCAUCCUAUUGGUGUUCACCAUUAUCCAAUAA